CAUAAACUAAGGUAUUGGCGCGCCUCAAUUUGAAGACAUGGCUAUCAUGAAAACUAGCCUUGUAGUUUAAUUGAGCCGCGUCAAUAUCUCAUUUUGCACU
rfam:Lupinus angustifolius cultivar Tanjil chromosome LG07, whole genome shotgun sequence.